GUUGAGGGGAGUGUCGUCUGGUACGAAGCCAUUGGAACAAACAAAGAGCAACUUCUCACUCCAUUUCUUGUGCUGGCAAAUGGUUUCGGACCAGGCUUCAUUCCCCCUAAC
rnacentral:pre_miRNA from 1 species